rnacentral:tRNA from 1 species
GGGCCGGUGGUCUAGACCGGUUAUGACGUCGCCUUCACACGGCGAAGGCCACGAGUUCGAAUCUCGUCCGGCCCACCA